GGCAGACCAAGCAGCUAAAUCAGCAAUGAGAGGGUCCCAGAUUUCUGAUCCACUUGAAGCCCCUCUGAUCUAGGAGGGCUCUGUAACAGAAAUAAAAAACUCAAUAUUCUCCUGCAGAAACAGAAUGGGCCACCUCUUGGGGAUACACCUUUUAGCCCUUAGAGUGGCUACAAUAAGAGGAUGGCAAACUUCAUCUACCAGCUUCUAGCCAAUGGAAAGUUCUUAAAAUUCUUCACCAAGCCUUCCACCUGGGAAAGGAUAAAACCUAUUAAUUGGCCCAAAGGUUGUUCUCAGGUAAAAAAUCUGCUAAAAUGAUCAAACAGCUCAUUAAUGCUUGUGAGACUUGCCUUAAAAAUAAUCCUCUCAAUUGAUGGCCUCUCUCAGCAAGAACCCAAAGAAUGGGAGGCCACCCAGGAAAAGACUAGCAUAUAGAUUUCACCCAUAUGCCAAAGAUAAGGGGCAUCCAGUACCUCCAGGUUUGGGUAGAUACCUUCACUAACUGGGUAGAAGCAUUUCCAUGUUGAACAGAGAAACCCAAUGAGGUAAUAAAAGUACCAGUUGAUGAGACAGUUCCUCACUUUGGAUGCCCUAAGUACCUCCAGAGUGAUAAUGGCCCCUCGUUCAAGGCAGCUAUCACCCAGGGGGUCUCAGAGGCACUAGGCAUACAAUACCAUCUUCAUAGUGCUUAGAGACCACAAUCCUUGGGAAAGGUAGAAAAGACAAAUGAUAUUAUCAAAAGGCACCUCAGAAAACUGUCUCAGGAGACUCAUCUCCCCUGGAUUACUCUUCUUCCUAUUGCCCUACUAUGUGUUAGAAACACCCCUUUGAAACUGAGGUUAAGUCCCUUCAAAAUGAUAUAUGGACAGCAUUUUCUCACCAAUUAUUUAUUGCUAGACCAAGAAACUUCUUAUUUGAUUAAACAUGUAACUUCUUUGGCCCAUUUCCAACAGGAACUGAAACAACUAUUGGAGGCCCAAUCCCGUGAACUAGGGGCCCACUUUAUUCAACCCAGGGGACCUAGUACUGGUAAAGGCUCUUCCUUCUCUUUUUCCCUCUCUAGGCCUGGAUUGGGCGGGAACUUAGACUGCACUUCUUUCUACUCUUUCAGCAGUAAAGGUCACUGGAAUAGAUUAUUGGAUUCAUAUACUCAAGUAAAGGCCUGGAGAACUGACAGAAUGACUUCUGUUGACCCAGAAGAGCACCCGAAGUACCAAUGUGAAGAGAGACCUUGAGCUGAUGAUCAGAAAAGAUAAGUAUCAAUAAUUAACCUUCCAUGGAUAUCCUCUUUAUAGUCUUGCUUAUACUUGUUCUUCUUGCCUUUGUUCUUUUCCUCACCAUAAGGCAUAUUUGCCAAGGAUCCCUUAAUUCUGAACACCCAUGAGAUUAUCUACUCUCCUAAACUGCUAUCUCUUCUAAAAUGUAACUGCCCUCCCCUAUACAAGAUUUUAUUUAUUUCACAAGGGUGAAACAGCUCUGGUCACAACAUUGUUUUCAGAAUGACUAGUCUAUUUUACUUCUUGUUUCUGUUAUCUCUCGCAUUGGCAUGGAUUUUUCCCUUUUAGCUCCUCUUUGUAUAAUCUCAUAAUUGGUCCAUGAAUACUUAACCUUCUUGUAAAAUUUGUUUCUUCUCACCUAGAGGCCAUCGAAUGGUAAAUGGUCAUGCAAAUGGAGCCUUGAAUGAUGGCCUUCUUUUUACCAGGGACCCUUAAAUAGGCCUCUGAGAGAGAUCCGACUGCCAUUUUCCCAAAACAAUGCCCCCUGUCAGCAUGAAGCAGGUAGAGUAGUCAUUAUCCCUAUCCUAAUGGCAGCUAGAUAUACCUCUUCAGAGGGGGAAUUGAUAGGGACAGGAGACAGACAAAUUCCUAGGCAGAUAGGGACAGGUCCCUGGUGAAACUUGACCUUCAAGCCAAGGACAGUCUAAUGCCUAAAAACCAAGCUACCAGUUUUGGAUAGAAUCCAUGGACCUGAGUGAGAACUUCCAUCCCCAUCUUACCCACUCUCUCUCGAUGAGUUCUUUCUGAAUGAUGCCUUUUAACAAAUCGAAUGGUGCCUUUUUCAAGCCCACCCAUAAGCAAUAAGCACAUAUUCCCCCAUUCUAACCCCAUAAAAACCCUGGACUCAGCCUUACAGAUGGCAACCCACUUUCAGGUUCUCUUUGCUGCUGAGAGCUUUCUUUCUGUUGCUCAAUAAAAUUCUACUCUGUCUUGUUCACUGUCCAGUGUCUGUGUACCUAAUUCCACUUGGUCAUGAGACAAGAACCUGGAACUCGCCAAACUGCAGGAGUGAAAGAGCUGUAACACUCCCUUCUCCUCACUGAACUACAGGAAUGAAGAAGCCACUGGGUGUCUCUCCCUUCUGCUCGCUGAACUAUGGGACUAAAGAAGCUGCAACAUCAGCAUCUGUUAUUUUUUGACUUUUUAAUAAUAGCCAUUCUGACUGGUGUGAGAUGGUAUCUCAUUGUGGUUUUGAUUUGCAUUUCUGUAAUGAUAAGUGAUGUUGAGAUUAUUUUCAUAUGAUUGUUGGUCACAUAGAUGUCUUCUUUUGAAAAGUGCCUGUUCAUGUCCUUUGCCCACUUUUUAAUGGGGUUGUUUGGACAAUAAACGUUCUUAAAUGUGCUCAACCCUAUAAGUAAUAAGAAAAAAUGCACAUUGAAACACCAUAUGAUACCACUGUUCA
rnacentral:lncRNA from 10 species